rnacentral:tRNA from 1 species
GGUGGCAUAGCCAAGCGGUAAGGCAGGGGACUGCAAAUCCCUUAUUCUCUGGUUCAAAUCCAGAUGCCACCU